rnacentral:misc_RNA from 1 species
GACGAACCGUGCGAACGUUAUUCGGAAUCACUGGGCUUAAAGCGCGCGUAGGCGGCAUUGUAAGUUAGGGGUGAAAUCCCAUCGGCUCAACCGUGGAACUGCCUUUAAUACUGCAAUGCUUGGGGGAGGUAGGGGCAUGUGGAACUUCCAGUGGAGCGGUGAAAUGUGUUGAGAUUGGAAGGAACGCCAGUGGCGAAAGCGACAUGCUGGAUCUCAUCUGACGCUGAGGCGCGAAAGCUAGGGUAGCGAACGGG